AUGUUCCCAACACUGUUGCUGCUGCUGCUGGCAGCUUCACCCAAUGUGAACUGUGCUGUGGAAUUGACUCAGGUCGAGUCAGUGGUGGUAAAGCCGGGAGAGUCUCUGACUCUCAGAUAUUCUUAUGGACAGUCUCUGAGCUCUUCUGCUUCUGUGGUGAAGAAGCCUGGAGAGUCGGUCAGUCUGUCCUGUACUGUAUCUGGAUUCUCCAUGAGCAGCUACUGGAUGCACUGGAUUCGUCAGAAACCAGGAGAAGGACUGGAGUGGAUCGGAUACAUUGAUGGUGGCACCAGCACUUACUUUGCCCAGUCUCUGCAGGGCCAGUUCUCCAUCACUAAAGACACCAAUCAAAACAAGCUGUACCUGGAAAUAAAGAGUCUCAAACCUGAAGACACGGCAGUUUAUUACUGUGCCCGAGAGUCACACUGUUACAACAGACUACAGACUCAAAAACCUCCACAAGCGAGUGUCUGA